rnacentral:sRNA from 1 species
GGGCCUUAAAUACCUGGCUUUGGUUGACAAAGGCUUCAGAGUGUCGAGGCCACUCUGCCACCAGCAUAUUAUCUUCAUAUCUGUUUGCACUGUUAGAUGACUCAGAGCUAGGACCGGAUGUUGCCACUGGCCUGGCAAUGAUAGUCCAAGAUAUGGAUGAUGUCUUCUCCCCUGCUCUCCGCUCUAAUGUCACACCACUGUACAAACAACGAUUCUUCAGCCUCAACAUAAGAACGUUGUUGGAGGGUUAUGAAAGAAAUAAGGCAACAGGAAGGCAAGAACAUUUUCUGACCGCCAUCUCUAGUGUAACAUCAUAUCUUCCAUUGCAAGUUUUGAAACCACAUCUGGCCAAAGUAGU